UCGUUAGGGUUUGGAUGGGUAGUUCGAGUGUAAAUACGGUCGUUUAAGGUCGUUAGGGUUUGGAUGGGUAGUUCGAGGUGUAAAUACGAGGUCGUUUAAGGUCGUUAGGGUUUGGAUGGGUAGUUCGAGGUGUAAAUACGAGGUCGUUUAAGGUCGUUGGGGUUGGAUGGGUAGUUCGAGGUGUAAAUACGAGGUCGUUUAAGGUCGUUGGGGUUUGGAUGGGUAGUUCGAGGUGUAAAUACGAGGUCGUUUAAGGUCGUUGGGGUUUGGAGGGUAGUUCGAGGUGUAAAUACGACGUCGUUUAAGGUCGUUGGGUUUGGAUGGGUAGUUCGAGGUGUAAAUACGAGGUCGUUAAGGUCGUUGGGGUUUGGAUGGGUAGUUCGAGGUGUAAAUACGACGUCGUUUAAGGUCGUUGGGGUUUGGAUGGGUAGUUCGAGGUGUAAAUACGAGGUCGUUUAAGGUCGUUAGGGUUUGGAUGGGUAGUUCGAGGUGUAAAUACGAGGUCGUUUAAGGUC